UCCUAGAUGGCUCAGUGGUAAAGAAUCUGCCUGCCAAGCAGGAGACAUGGGUUUGAUCCCUGGGUUGGGAA
rnacentral:tRNA from 1 species